GGUCCGUUGGUUGUAACGGUUUAAACACUUUCCUAAUCUGGAAGUUAGGUACCGGUUCGAAUCCGGUACGGGCCA
rnacentral:tRNA from 1 species